rnacentral:rRNA from 1 species
GACAGAGGGGGCAAGCGUUGCUCGGAAUUACUGGGCGUAAAGGGCGCGUAGGCGGGAUGGCAAGUCGGUCGUGAAAUCCUUCGGCUCAACUGAGGAUCGUCGAUCGAUACUGCCGUUCUUGAGGAUUGCAGAGGAGACUGGAAUUCCCGGUGUAGCGGUGAAAUGUGUAGAGAUCGGGAGGAACACCGGUGGCGAAGGCGGGUCUCUGGGCAAUUCCUGACGCUGAGGCGCGAAAGCGUGGGGAGCAAACGGG